UUUCAUGCAUCUAAUCUGAUAUUUUCUCACAUUUUAUCGUACUCUAAUACUAAUUAUUACUCACUUCAUGGAGAUAAUAUGCAAAAAAAGCCCAACUUUUUGAUUAGGAAAGUAGUUGAUUACAGUCUAACAUCAAUUAGCAACAAAUUUACCCUAAAACAUGUUAGUGCAGACCAGGUUUAUCAAGAACAGCAAAGUUACAGUAAUGAUAUAAAUUAAAAUGUAUGGGAUGAUGCAUA